rnacentral:snRNA from 1 species
UUGCUUUAACAGCACAUAUACUAAAAUUGGAAGUAAACAGAGAAAAUUAGUGUGGGCCCUGCUGCAGGACACCAUAUAUGUUAGUUCCUUUCUGUUGUU